rnacentral:rRNA from 1 species
UACGAAGGGGGCUAGCGUUGCUCGGAUUGACUGGGCGUAAAGGGCGCGUAGGCGGUUCGUACAGUCAGACGUGAAAUUCCUGGGCUCAACCUGGGGGCUGCGUUUGAUACGUGCGGACUUGAGUGCGGAAGAGGGUCGUGGAAUUCCCAGUGUAGAGGUGAAAUUCGUAGAUAUUGGGAGGAACACCGGUGGCGAAGGCGGCCCUCUGGACCGGUACUGACGCUGAUGCGCGAAAGCGUGGGGAGCAAACGGG